AGAACGAACGCUGGCGGCAUGCCUAACACAUGCAAGUCGAACGAGACCUUCGGGUCUAGUGGCGCACGGGUGCGUAACGCGUGGGAAUCUGCCCUUGGGUUCGGGAUAACAGUUGGAAACGACUGCUAAUACCGGAUAAUGACUUCGGUCCAAAGAUUUAUCGCCCAGGGAUGAGCCCGCGUAGGAUUAGCUAGUUGGUGAGGUAAAGGCUCACCAAGGCGACGAUCCUUAGCUGGUCUGAGAGGAUGAUCAGCCACACUGGGACUGAGACACGGCCCAGACUCCUACGGGAGGCAGCAGUGGGGAAUAUUGGACAAUGGGCGAAAGCCUGAUCCAGCAAUGCCGCGUGAGUGAUGAAGGCCUUAGGUUGUAAAGCUCUUUUACCGGGAUGAUAAUGACAGUACCGGAGAAUAAGCCCCGGCUAACUCCGUGCCAGCAGCCGC
rnacentral:rRNA from 1 species